rnacentral:tRNA from 1 species
GAGAAAUAAGCAUAAUUAGUGUGCACCUAGCUUGAAACUAGGAGGAGGGGGUUCGAGUCCUUCAUUUCUUG